GAUGAACGCUAGCGGCAGGCCUAAUACAUGCAAGUCGAACGGUGUAGCAAUACACAGUGGCGCACGGGUGCGUAACACGUAUGCAACCUACCUAUUAUUGGGGGAUAGCCUUUGGAAACGGAGAUUAAUACCGCAUAAUACGAUUGACUGGCAUCAGUUGAUUGUUAAAGCUUCGGCGAUAAUAGAUGGGCAUGCGUCCAAUUAGUUAGUUGGUGAGGUAAUGGCUCACCAAGACGAUGAUUGGUAGGGGAUCUGAGAGGAUAAUCCCCCACACUGGCACUGAGAUACGGGCCAGACUCCUACGGGAGGCAGCAGUAGGGAAUAUUGGGCAAUGGGCGGAAGCCUGACCCAGCCAUGCCGCGUGCAGGAUGAAGGCGUUAUGCGUUGUAAACUGCUUUUUUAUAGGAAGAAGGAGGCCUUGCGAGGCUUGGUGACGGUACUAUAAGAAUAAGCACCGGCUAACUCCGUGCCAGCCGCCGCAGUAACAC
rnacentral:rRNA from 1 species